UCGUUUAGCGGUUGGUGGUUGUCGUGCGGGAACUUGAAAAUGUAUCUAUUAGCGAUGUUCUCAAAGCUAAAUAAGAUUAUAUUCGAAGAACAACGUCGGCGUGCUGAAAUGCAAUGAAUGCCACAACUACACAUCAUGUGUCUGAGUGUCGUCCUGUAUGUACUUCAGGUAAGUAUGCGUCCUGUGUUACGUAAACGAAUUAUGAAAAUGUGGUAGCUGUUCACAGUUAUGCUUCUUCAAGAGAGUUUCUGUUCGUAAGUGGACCUUUGUAUUCAAAGAAGUCUAACUUCUUUGAAGAAGAGGAACUUCAAAUUGACGAUAAGUGAAAUAGUAUUUUGGAUAGGACGUUUUGUUAAUUAAUGUUAACAGCAUUGCAGAAUAGUCUGGCUUUGAUAAACGCACUGCAGAUGACGAAGGUGGCAAGUUACCUAAAGGCUAGCAUCACUCGGCAUGGCUCUGGAAUGAGAAGUCAACUGUGCAGGUUGUGGUAAGGAGGUACCCUGCACUGGUAAGUUUCAAUGGGGUAGGUAUUACCGCCGUUCUGUAUUAUCAUUCACGUGUAUCCUGCCGACGACAAGUGGUGUCAGUGCAUGGGCGGAUCCAGUCCGUGUCGCUUUUGUUGUUGUUGUUUUGGGGAGGGGCGGUUUGUUUGUCGAAGCCCCUAAGUGGGUACGGGAGUGGGGGACACCUCUGCUAAACCUACUGUUUUGAGCUGGGGGGGGGGGGGGGAUCGCCCAACCGUCCCUCCCCUCGGAUCCGCCACUGCAUCAGUGUUGAGUUCUAAUGCUGUUGUUACUGUUUCAGAUUUACGAGUUGUUUGCACGGCACAUUGGGCAGACAGAGAAAAGAAAGUGCUGCUCCACCUCCACAAAGAAUGGAUGCACAUUGCGAGGAAGAGAAAGGGACUAGUUAGAGUAAUGAUCAGCUCAUAAAUGAGAAUAUUAUUGAUGAACAAGAUAAUUAUUACCCAGCAUGAGUAAUUCAUGCCCUUGCUCAUCUGCUGAAGGACGUGCAUCUGACCUUUUCACUUGUGUAAGUGCUCAUCUUAUUACAGGCGUUUUACAAUAGAUAUAUUGGGAAGUGUAUACACAUAUCUAUUUUAGGCAAGAUAUUCUUGUAGCUCCAAACUGUGAAUUGCAUAUGACAGCAUUUUCUCAUAUAAGGCAACUACCCUUCUGCCAAGAAAAAAGAAAAAUCUAAAGUACAUGUACUGCACUUGAUGCUUCAGCCAGAUGCACUUCAAAAGGCGCGUCUCCCCUGCUUUCUCAUGAAAAAGCAGAAAAGUGGGUGCCGAUAUGCCAAAUUCCUAUGCACUGAUAUGUUAAUGUAUAGUGACAGAUGAACUUCGAAUAACUGUUUUGUUUCCUGUUUGUAGGAGUUGGAAGUAUAUGCCAGGUGAUAGUUGCAUUGGGUGUGUGGCAACCUUAUACUGCAAGAAUGUACUUGUACCUGUGGCAUCUUACCAGUUGUUUUCAUAGGAUCAUAUUAAGCACUGAAAGCUUCCUUUUUCUGUUCUUGCCAGUUUGUACCAGAGACACAAUAAAUGUUUCUCAUUUAGA